AUUGAACGCUGGCGGAAUGCUUUACACAUGCAAGUCGAACGGCAGCACGGGGCAACCUGGUGGCGAGUGGCGAACGGGUGAGUAAUGCAUCGGAACGUACCUUUCAGUGGGGGAUAACGUAGCGAAAGUUACGCUAAUACCGCAUAUUCUGUGAGCAGGAAAGCAGGGGAUCGCAAGACCUUGCGCUGAUUGAGCGGCCGAUGUCAGAUUAGCUAGUUGGUGAGGUAAAGACUCACCAAGGCGACGAUCUGUAGCGGGUCUGAGAGGAUGAUCCGCCACACUGGAACUGAGACACGGACGAGACUCCUACGGGAGGCAGCAGUGGGGAAUUUUGGACAAUGGGGGCAACCCUGAUCCAGCCAUGCCGCGUGAGUGAAGAAGGCCUUCGGGUUGUAAAGCUCUUUCGGCCGGGAAGAAAUCGCACGGGCUAAUACCCUGUGUGGAUGACGGUACCGGAAUAAGAAGCACCGGCUAACUACGUGCCAGCCGCCGCAGUAAAAC
rnacentral:rRNA from 1 species